UCGGGACUGACCAAAAUGGAAGAAGAGUUUGUGGUACUGGGUCUCAUGCGGCCUGAAAUAGAAGAAAGUUCCACAAAGACUGCCCUGGAGGCCAUCAACAUUGGCAAGAAUAGAGUGACUAAUAUUGUAGCAGGCAACCACUGCAGACCACGCCUU